CAUUAAUGGUUCAGCUUUGUGCUUGCAGUGCAACUCGCGUAUCAAUACAAACCGUAAUUGUUAAAGCCUUGGCCCGAGGUGAAACGUGAUGAGUAGAUGAACGAGACAAGCUAUUGUACAACGCGCGUAUUGAUCGCCCACCUCUCAAAAUGCCAGGCUUUGGGUCGAGCAUUUUCGGGCCUGCAUUGCGCCACCUGAUAACGUCCUCACCUCGACCCUUAUCAGACGUCGAGGUCAACGAACUUUUUGAUAAUCUGUUGCGCAACAAUUACGAACCAAGUUUUACUACAUUACAAUUGAAGAGAAAAUAGUUGCGGUGUACCCGUUAAAAAAUAAAUACUUGACAAGAAAUUACAAUAUUCUCAGACUUUUUUGUAAAUUCCACUGACUAUUCUACAUUCAGGAUAGAAAAUUCGCAUUAAUAAACGUAUUAAGAACUA